rnacentral:lncRNA from 1 species
UAAGUGUUUUUUCCCCCUGCAGCUUGCUGAGUAGCAGCUGACAUGCACAGGAUUGUAUAUAGAAGAUGCUGACAAGAAAAGACACAGAAAGGAUAAUCAACUGCCAUGGAUGCCUACAACCUGACCACUCUGGAAAGAUAAGGCAGGAGGAUCACAAAUUUGAGCCCACCCUCAGC